rnacentral:rRNA from 1 species
AGUCGAGCGGACAGAUGGGAGCUUGCUCCCUGAUGUUAGCGGCGGACGGGUGAGUAACACGUGGGUAACCUGCCUGUAAGACUGGGAUAACUCCGGGAAACCGGGGCUAAUACCGGAUGGUUGUCUGAACCGCAUGGUUCAGAAAUAAAAGGUGGCUUCGGCUACCACUUACAGAUGGACCCGCGGCGCAUUAGCUAGUUGGUGAGGUAACGGCUCACCAAGGCGACGAUGCGUAGCCGACCUGAGAGGGUGAUCGGCCACACUGGGACUGAGACACGGCCCAGACUCCUACGGGAGGCAGCAGUAGGGAAUCUUCCGCAAUGGACGAAAGUCUGACGGAGCAACGCCGCGUGAGUGAUGAAGGUUUUCGGAUCGUAAAGCUCUGUUGUUAGGGAAGAACAAGUGCCGUUCAAAUAGGGCGGCACCUUGACGGUACCUAACCAGAAAGCCACGGCUAACUACGUGCCAGCAGCCGCGGUAAUACGUAGGUGGCAAGCGUUGUCCGGAAUUAUUGGGCGUAAAGGGCUCGCAGGCGGUUUCUUAAGUCUGAUGUGAAAGCCCCCGGCUCAACCGGGGAGGGUCAUUGGAAACUGGGGAACUUGAGUGCAGAAGAGGAGAGUGGAAUUCCACGUGUAGCGGUGAAAUGCGUAGAGAUGUGGAGGAACACCAGUGGCGAAGGCGACUCUCUGGUCUGUAACUGACGCUGAGGAGCGAAAGCGUG